rnacentral:tRNA from 1 species
GCCGGAGUGGCGGAACUGGCAGACGCGCUAGGUUGAGGGCCUAGUUCCCGUAAAGGGAGUGCAGGUUCGACCCCUGUCUCCGGCA